UUUCCUCGGUUUCAUUCUGUCGGCUCAGGGAGUCUCUGCUGAUCCAACCAAGGUCCUGGCCAUCACUUCUUGGCCCCAACCCUAGGACAUUCCUGACGUAUGCAGAAGCUAGGUAGAGUAUCAGUAGCUGCUUCCGUUGCCACCUGUGUCGUGUAAUCGGUCGCUUGGCCGUCGCUGGCUGUCGGAACCUAACUCCCACCGCCGGCACGGGUAUCCCAACAGCCAAUAUCAGAGCCCGUUGGGGGCCACGGAGGACGACCUUCCUAAUGGGCAAGGAGCUGCAACACCAGUGGCCCACUGGGCUCCGGCCCACAGGUCUGCCAUUACAUCAUCCC
rnacentral:lncRNA from 1 species